rnacentral:lncRNA from 1 species
UUUCUUCUAUUCUUCUCUCUAUACGUUGAUGUUCUAACCAAUAAUCACCAAAGCGAUGUUCUGUCCGAUCGAUUCAGGAACCAACAAACGAAUGCCAAAGUGUUGUACUUUGUGAAUUUCGUUAAACGGAAUCCAAAAUACUAUACUUUGUGAGUUCAUUAAAUGGAUACCAAAGUACUGUCUGAAUAAGACUAUACUUUGUGAAAUUCGUUAAGGUUCGAAUCUCGUGAUCAUCAUUAGGUUUGAUAUGGUUUUACACAAAGAGGUAUUCCAUUCUGUUAAACUAUAUGUUUAACCAUCCGAAUACUCCCAACAAUACGUUUACAAUCAAAAUGGAUGCUUAAUCAUCGGAAGAUCCAAAAUAAUAAAGUAUAUGCUUAAUUAUCAGAAGGAGUAGAAUCAAGAAGCUUGUUAAAUCAAUACUGCAUGCUUAUACUGCAAGGAAUCCGGGACGUCGAGCGGACACGCCGGAGGAGAUACACGCGGAAAAGGGGUGCUUUAAAGGUACGUGACUUUAGUCUCGUUGCAUUAUGUAAUAACGUUUAGUUUUAAUGUAUAAAUGAUGUCGGAUGGUAAUUGUUGCGUUGAUGUAUCGUUAAAGUGGCGAAGUUCACUAGAUCAUCAAACGGGUCAAAAUAAACACUAGAAAAUUUGUUUGGCAUGAUAAUAAAGUGAUGGUCUUCACUAGAUAGCCAAACGGGUCAAAAUGUUGUUUGAAAACGAAUCACAUGAGUAGAGACUUAAAAGUCUCAUAUUUUGCAAGGUGAUAAAUGUAAUGCAUCAAUAAAUUGGUUAUGACAUUUUAAGUCUACAAACCCGGUAUAUCAGGUCAAACAAUAGAAGUUGAUAGAAGGUGUCGUUUGAAACGGGAUGCUCGAAUUCCGAGAAAACAAAGUGCUUAGUUCGGAGAAUACGCGAAGCCAUGGUAUGGCGCGUAUACUCCAAGGUCAUAAGCCCGGGAAGUGGGGUAAUUAUGUCUAAUGUGUCCUAGGGAUGGAAUUAUGAAAUCAUGUACCUUGUUAAUGGGUUGUAGAUAUUGAAACAAAGAAAUUAUGAGCCGAACGUUGGUAUCUCGGUUUUCGUGAUGAAUAAAUUAUAUGGUUGGGUCCGUAAUCUUAUUACAGACUCGUAGGUGAAAGAAUCGACAAAAUCGGACUAACGAGUAAAAAGUUAUAAACUUUUAAAGUUAAAAAAAAAUGGUUAAGAGGCAAGAAUGCAGAACCCACCGUAACUUACGGUGACACCGUAAGUUACGGUGGACAUCAAAAGCUUACGGUGUGAACCUUCUGAUUUACGGUAGAACAAGGAACAUUCCAGGUUCACCGUAACUUACGGUGACACCGUAAGUGACGGUGGAACCCAGGAAAAAUUAUAUUUUGUUUGAUGCUUGUGUUGUUAAAUUUCGUUUAUACGUAAUGUAGUAUUGUCAAAACUAAUAUUUUAGUGUUUGACAUUAGGUAUGGAUGAGUUUCCCUUGGAUGGUGAUCAAGCAUGUUGUCAAGAACCAAACACGCGUUUUCAAGCUUCCGCACUAAAUAUAACCAUGUCUAGAACUUUAUUAUGUUGUAAACACUUUUGUUAAUCAUGUUUUAAACUCCUUAAACUAGUGAUUAGUAUUAGUAAGGGUUAACUUUAAACUUGUUAAGCACUAUUGUACAAGGUUUGGUAAUUUAAUGUGUUUGUAUGGUCCUUAAAGGAGGAAAAUCUUUUUAUAAACUCUGAUUUGUACCUUAACUAAUAUAAUUAUUAAUUAUAUUCCGUCCAAAUACUAAGGGUGUUACAAGUUGGUAAUCAGAGCUUAAGGUUGUCAACAAAAGUGUUCGGUUCAAGCUUGAUCGAUCGUCCGGUAAGAAUUGACAUAUUAUGUUAACAAAUUAUGUCUUAUAUAUGAAUGAGAAAGAAAUUAAAGUGCAUGGGAAGAGUGUGUUAACACACUCAAACCCGGGAAGUGCACCAAAUUUGAACGGUUAAAGCAAGUUGAGAACUUGACUAAAC